rnacentral:rRNA from 1 species
UAAGGAAUAUUGGUCAAUGGACGCAAGUCUGAACCAGCCAUGCCGCGUGAAGGAUGAAGGUCCUCUGGAUUGUAAACUUCUUUUAUCUGGGACGAAAACGGGAUUUUUAUCUCAAUUGACGGUACCAGAGGAAUAAGCACCGGCUAACUCCGUGCCAGCAGCCGCGGUAAUACGGAGGGUGCGAGCGUUAUCCGGAUUUACUGGGUUUAAAGGGUGCGUAGGUGGGCUUAUAAGUCAGUGGUGAAAUCUCCGAGCUUAACUUGGAAACUGCCGUUGAUACUAUAGGUCUUGAAUUAUCUGGAGGUAAGCGGAAUAUGUCAUGUAGCGGUGAAAUGCUUAGAUAUGACAUAGAACACCAAUUGCGAAGGCAGCUUACUACGUAUAAAUUGACGCUGAGGCACGAAAGCGUGGGGAUCAAAC